rnacentral:rRNA from 1 species
UACAGGGGGGGCAAGCGUUGUUCGGAAUUACUGGGCGUAAAGGGUUCGUAGGUGGCCAACUAAGUCAGACGUGAAAUCCCUCAGCUUAACUGGGGAACUGCGUCUGAUACUGGAUGGCUUGAGUGCAGGAGAGGAAUGCGGAAUUCCAGGUGUAGCGGUGAAAUGCGUAGAUAUCUAAAGAAACACCAAUAACAAAGACGACAUUCUGGACUGUAACUGACACUGAGGAACGAAAGCCAGGGGAGCAAACGGG